GGAAAUGACGCCAGGGGAUGCAAACCCUUCUACCCCUUUUUGCGACCCCUGAAGCUUACUGUUAGUGGUCGAGUUUUUCUGGAAGUGGGCUUCCGCGAUCGCGGGGACCAACGCCCUGAGCUCUUGUGCCCAAACGGGAUCGCCAGGUUUUUUGAUGCGGAUCGAAAGGGACUGGCCCCGGAGCCUACAACCUGACGCAGGUGGGACUUGGGGAAAUGUCGAGAAACCUAGGUCUGGGACUUGAGUUGGCUUCCAGGGCACACAUUCUUGUUCAGAAGAAACACACUGCAAAAAUCGGGAGGUGACGGGCAGAUGAAGUGUCGGCGCUUCGCCUCGGGACUCCAAUGCAACCUACGGGGCUUUUGGAAAGGAGGAAGUCAAUGACCCCGCAGGGACUCCUCUGGCCCAGGAGCAGAUGGCGCUCGUCUGGGCACUCCCCAGCAGAAAAGGUGCAUCGGGAAGCAGCCUGGCUUGUGGAUGGCCUGCUUUGCUCAGAAAGGGAGAUCAGGAGACCAGGUGAUGCUGUAGCAAAAUGUCAGAGUCGAGUCCUAGGUGGACAAGGUGGAGGAGAGAGAAUUCCUUGGCAGCAGCAUUAUGAACAAAUGCAGAGCUGAGAAACAGCAUGGUGGCCUUGACUAAGUGUAUGGCGACAGCAGGUGAUGCCUCUUCAUGGGUGGUGGAUGAAGAAACUGAACAAGGCCAUCAUCCUUAUCUGUAGUUUCCCGGCUACCACUCUGCUUUGGUGGUCUUCCCUCGUCUCUUCCUGGGUAGAAAUAGAACUACCUGGAGAUCCCAAUGUUCUUGACAGUGCACUUUUCAUGGACUGCAGUGCCUACUUCAUACUGGGUGGAAUUUUUAUGAUUAGCGCCCUUCUCCUCUCAUUCUGCUUGAACUGUUUGUCGCUGACCUUCCCUCAGUUAUUCCCUGAGACCCAGAAACAGUAUAUUUUCUGCGCAUCCAUCUGCAUUGUCACAGGAGCCCUCUGCCUUUGCAAUUCCCGGUGCUGUGGAGCUGUCAGAGUUUUAACAUCUCAACCAAGCCGCAUGGAUACUAUUUCCUUAGAAAAGACAAAAUUGAUCCAAGCAGAAGAAUGAACUCACCGAAGAGGACUCUCUACCCAUAACUGGGGAUGCCUCAGCCAUUCACACUUACUCCAAGAUUAGUGUCACUGAUUAUGGAAAGAAUUGACUUCUUCCCCUGGUCCUGGUCAUUUUUCUAGAGCCCAGUACCAUAAAUGUGUUUUAUGGCAGAGAAAAGUGAAGAUGGGAGGAACUGUGUGUGUUGAGAGAGAAGCAGAUAGGCCAUCUUAUGCUUUGGCUCCUAGAUUAUGCAGGUGCCUAUUUUCUAUCAUCUCCAUAAAUCUACCCUUACUGCACUUCCUAUUCUGCAGGGGUAUUUUGUUGUCUAUAACACAACUCCUCCUCUGUCUGUAAAGUUUAGGUUUUGAUAAAAAUCCUUUUCCCUCCAGAAGUGUCUACUAAAAAUACAAAAAAAUUAGCCAGGUGUGGUGGCAUGCACCUGUAGUCCCACCUACUCAGGAGAUUGAGGCAGGAGAAUCGCUUGAAACUGGGAGGCGGAGUUUGCAGUGAGCCAAGAUCAUGCCACUGCACUCCAGCCUGGGUGACAGAGUGAUACUCUGUCUCAAAAAACAAAUGAACAAUAAAAAACAAAAAAGAAAUAAAUGUCUAGGGCUAGGUGCCAUGGCUCAUGCCUAUAAUCCCAGCACUUAGAGAGACAUAGUUGGGCAGAUCACUUGAGGUCAGGAGUUCGAGACCAGCUGAACAACAUAGCGAAACCCUGUCUCUAUUAAAAAUACAAAAAUUAGCCAGGUUUGGUGGCUCACACCCAUUGGGAGGCUGAGGCAUGAAAGUCACUUGAACCUGUGGAACCUGGCAGGUGGAGGUUGCAGUGAGCCAAGAUAAUGUCACUGCAGGUGAGCCUGGGUGACAGAGCAAGACUCUGUCUCAAAAAAAAAAGACAGAGAAAGAAAUGAGUGUCUAGAAUAUUUUAAAGGCUAUGGAAAUAAAGCAGGAACAUUUUCAUGAAAGGCAGCUUAUAAAGGAUGAGGAUGAUUUUCUCUUUAGGGGUAAAGGAACUAAUAUUUAUUAAGCACUUUCUAUUUUUCAGGCACUAUGUGACAUACAGUGUAUGUGGGUGUGUAUGUGUGUGUCUUUCCUCACAAUUAUUUUAUAGGGUAGGGGUUAGUACAAUGAAGAUGUUGUAGCUUAGAGACAGGAAGUGGCAAAACCAGAAUUGGAAGACAAGACUGUUGGGCUCCAAGGUCCAUGCACUUUUCCCUUUUAAAGGUCUUAGGUAAAGAGUAGACCCAUUUGGAUAGGCCCAAAUUAACAGUCUAUCUUCAGAGUCCUUGUCCUAAAUUCUUUACCCCACUGCCUUCUAAGAGGAAGUUCAUCUUUUUACCAGGGAGUAGCCACCUUCAGAAGAAUUCUCCUGUCUAUAUAACCAAAUUAAUAGAAUCCUGGUAAAUCAACUGGAAUGUUAACUGUUCUGAUUUUCAACUGUUUUUACCUUCAUCAUUAAUACUGAAUAUGGACUGUAGGUUGGAUAACUGCUGUUCCAGGUAAGGAACUCCGAGCAGCAGCCUUGAGCUACCAAGGCAUUAUAUAGGAUUUUUGCUUAAAAAUAUUAAAAAUAUGACUGAGUAUAUGUAUAUAUUCCCCCCCACAUUCCAAAGAUAAACACUGUUAAGCAUGUUAGGCACAUUUUACUGUAUAUAUAUGGGUGGCAUAUGUGUGUGUGUGUGUGUGUGUAUAUAUAUAUAUACAUGUAUACACAUACACUUCUAGACAUUUAUAUACAUGUGUUGUGUGUAUAUGUUGUGUAUGUUUUUAAAAAGGAAUUGUCUUUGGCUGGGCACAGUGGCUCACGCCUGUAAUCCCAGCACUCCGGGAGGCAGAGACAGGAGGAUUCCUUGAGCUCAGGGUUUCAAGAGCAGCCUGGCCAACAUGGCGAAACCCCAUCUCUACUAAAAAUACAAAAAUUAAAAAAAAAAUUUAUCUGGACGUGGUGGCGCCACCUGUAAUCUCAGCUACUUGGGAGGCUGAGGCAGGAGAAUUGCUUGAAGCUGGGAGGCAGAGGUUGCAGUAAGCUGAAAUUAAUCCACUGCAUUCCAGCCUGGGUGACAGAGUGAGACCCCAUCUCAAAAAAAAAAAAUAGUUGGGGUGGGGGGGUGGAAUUGUUAUCCGAUUAAGCUUUUUUGUAUCUUUUUUUUUUUUAAAACUUAAUGCUAUUUCUUGAACGUCUUUACUUAAAGAAAAUAGAUAGCUAAAUAUUGCAUUAUGAAGAAAAAGUUCAAUAAAUAUUUGUUGAAUUAAUGUAACUUUUCCUUUGAUCACCAGCUGCUUCUAAUUCCCUACUUCAGGUAUUGUUGAAUACUACAUUGCUUUAGGCAAAAAGUGUUUCAUUUCUCAUUGAAUCAAAAACAAUUAAGGAUGUCAUUUUCUCUUCUUCCUUUGAGUUCCAAUAAAUCUACACUUGUUCUUGUUCCCUUGUUUAGAGGUGCAAUGGAAAAGAAGUUUGCAGAUUGUACUCCUGCCUGGUUGAAUAAACUCAUUUGAAAAUAAGC